rnacentral:rRNA from 1 species
AACGAACGCUGGCGGCAUGCCUAACACAUGCAAGUCGAACGAGACCUUCGGGUCUAGUGGCGCACGGGUGCGUAACGCGUGGGAACCCGCCCUUAGGUUCGGAAUAACUCCCCGAAAGGGGUGCUAAUACCGGAUAAUGUCUUCGGACCAAAGAUUUAUCGCCUUUGGAUGGGCCCGCGUUGGAUUAGCUAGUUGGUAGGGUAAAAGCCUACCAAGGCGACGAUCCAUAGCUGGUCUGAGAGGAUGAUCCGCCACACUGGGACUGAGACACGGCCCAGACUCCUACGGGAGGCAGCAGUGGGGAAUAUUGGACAAUGGGCGAAAGCCUGAUCCAGCAAUGCCGCGUGAGUGAUGAAGGCCUUAGGGUUGUAAAGCUCUUUUACCCGGGAUGAUAAUGACAGUACCGGGAGAAUAAGCUCCGGCUAACUCCGUG